GGUUGUGGCUCAGGGGUAGAGGGCUUGCCUAGCAUUUGAGAGGCACUGGGUUCCAUUCUCAGCACCA
rnacentral:tRNA from 1 species